rnacentral:rRNA from 1 species
UACGGAGGGCGCGAGCGUUAAUCGGAAUUACUGGGCGUAAAGCGCGCGUAGGCUGUUGUGUAAGUUGGGGGUGAAAUCCCACGGCUCAACCGUGGAACAGCCCUUGAUACUGCGCGACUUGAAUCCGGGAGAGGGUGGCGGAAUUCCAGGUGUAGGAGUGAAAUCCGUAGAUAUCUGGAGGAACAUCAGUGGCGAAGGCGGCUACCUGGACCGGUAUUGACGCUGAGGCGCGAAAGCGUGGGGAGCAAACAGG